rnacentral:rRNA from 1 species
AUUGAACGCUGGCGGCAUGCUUUACACAUGCAACUCGAACGGUAACAGGCCGCAAGGUGCUGACGAGUGGCGAACGGGUGAGUAAUGCAUCGGAACGUGCCCAGUCGUGGGGGAUAACUACUCGAAAGAGUAGCUAAUACCGCAUACGAUCUAUGGAUGAAAGCGGGGGACCGGAAGGCCUAGUGUGGUUGGAGCGGCCGAUGUCAGAUUAGGUAGUUGGUGGGGUAAAGGCUCACCAAGCCAACGAUCUGUAGCUGGUCUGAGAGGACGACCAGCCACACUGGGACUGAGACACGGCCCAGACUCCUACGGGAGGCAGCAGUGGGGAAUUUUGGACAAUGGGCGCAAGCCUGAUCCAGCAAUGCCGCGUGCGGGAAGAAGGCCUUCGGGUUGUAAACUGCUUUUGUACGGAACGAAACGGCUCUGGUUAAUACCCGGGGCUAAUGACGGUACCGUAAGAAUAAGCACCGGCUAACUACGUG